rnacentral:rRNA from 1 species
ACUCCUACGGGAGGCAGCAGUGGGGAAUAUUGCACAAUGGAGGAAACUCUGAUGCAGCAACGCCGCGUGGAGGAUGACACUUUUCGGAGCGUAAACUCCUUUUAUAUAGGAAGAUAAUGACGGUACUAUAUGAAUAAGCACCGGCUAACUCCGUGCCAGCAGCCGCGGUAAUACGGAGGGGUGCAAGCGUUACUCGGAAUCACUGGGGCGUAAAGAGCGUGUAGGCGGGGUUAUUAAGUCAGAAGUGAAAUCCUAUGGCUCAACCAUAGAACUGCUUUUGAAACUGGUAACCUAGAGUAUGGGAGAGGUAGAUGGAAUUUCUGGUGUAGGGGUAAAAUCCGUAGAGAUCAGAAGGAAUACCGAUUGCGAAGGCGAUCUACUGGAACAUUACUGACGCUGAGACGCGAAAGCGUGGGGAGCAAACAGGAUUAGAUACCCUGGUAGACUGUCA